ensembl:lncRNA
CAACCAGUCAAACGUCUAGUUCAACAUCCACAAGUCCAUCCACAACGUCUGCAACUACAUCGUCACCAACAUCAGCAACAACCAGUCAAACAUCUAGUUUCAACAGCAAGUCCAUCCACAACUUCUGCAACUACAUCAUCACCAACCACAUCAGCAACAAGUAGUUCAAACAUCAAGUUCAACAACAAGUCCAUCCACAACUUCUGCGACUACAUCGUCACCAACAACAUCAGCAACAAGCAGUCCAAACAUCAAGUUCAACAACAAGUCCAUCCACAACUUCUGCAACUACAUCGUCACCAACCACAUCAGCAACAACCAGUCAAACAUCUAGUUCAACAUCCACAAGUCCAUCCACAAUAUCUGCAACUACAUCAGCAACAACCAGUCAAACAUCUAGUUCAACAUCCACAAGUCCAUCCACAACGUCUGCAACUACAUCGUCACCAACCACAUCAGCAACUUCAGGUGUUGAGCCAAUCUAUAUUGUUUCAGCCAACUUUACCUCAAGAGAUUUUUCGAGAAGAACUCACUAACCCCAACAGAACAACAUACAAAGAACUUGAAAGUCGAGUAAUAGACACGUGUACACCUAUCUACACAAGAAAAUAUGGAAAGAGAUUUGUCCGCUGCUUUGUGAAACAAUUCCGCCGUGCUGUGCGUCUACGACAAGAUGCAACUGCAGCUGAUAUUGGGGUUGUGCUCCGCAACAAUAUCCCCAUUUCUGACCUCCCAAAUAAUGACGAAGUUGCUGAAACUUUAGCAAUUGCAGCAAGUAGCAAUGAGACCUUAAGUGUGGCUCUGUCUGCAUCCUCAAUCCAAACUAUAUCUGGUCCAGUUCCUUUAACUACUGAGCCUGCAACUACAACAACCAUAGUUGCAGCAACUACAACUCCACCAACGACAUCAGCAACAACCAGUCAAACAUCAAGUUCAACAUCAACAAGUCCAUCCACAACUUCUGCAACUACAUCGUCACCAACCACAUCAGCAACAACCAGUCAAACAUCAAGUUCAACAACAAGUCCAUCCACAACUUCUGCAACUACAUCAUCACUAACCACAUCAGCAACAAGCAGUCAAACAUCAAGUUCAACAACAAAAAGUCCAUCCACAACUUCUGCAACUACGUCAUCACCAACCACAUCAGCAACAACCAGUCAAACAUCAAGUUCAACAUCUACAAGUCCAUCCACAACUACAUCGUCACCAACGACAUCAGCAACAACCAGUCAAACAUCAAGUUCAAGAACAAGUCCAUCCACAACUUCUGCAACUACAUUGUCACCAACAUCAGCAACAACCAGUCAAACAUCUAGUUCAACAUCCACAAGCCCAUCCACAACUUCUGCAACUACAUCGUCACCAACAGCAGCAAUAACCAGUCAAACAUCUAGUUCAACAUCCACAAGUCCAUCCACAACUUCUGCAACUACAUCAUCACCAACCACAUCAGCAACAACCAGUCAAACAUCAAGUUCAACAACAAGUCCAUCCACAACUUCUGCAACUACAUCGUCACCAACAUCAGCAACAACCAGUCAAACAUCAAGUUCAAUAUCUACAAGUCCAUACACAACUUCUGCAACUACAUCAUCACCAACCACGUCAGCAACAACCAGUCAAACAUCAAGUUCAACAUCAACAAGUCCAUCCACAACUUCUGCAACUACAUCGUCACCAACCACAUCAGCAACAACCAGUCAAACAUCAAGUUCAACAACAAGUCCAUCCACAACUUCUGCAACUACAUCAUCACCAACCACAUCAGCAACAACCAGUCAAACAUCUAGUUCAACAUCCACAAGUCCAUCCACAACUUCUGCAACUACAUCGUCACCAACAACAUCAGCAACAACCAGUCAAACAUCUAGUUCAACAUCCACAAGUACAUCCACAACUUCUGCAACUACAUCGUCACCAACCACAUCAGCAACUUCAGGUGUUGAGCCAAUCUAUAUUGUUUCAGCAACUUUACCUGAAGAGAAUUUUCGAGAAGAACUCACUAACCCAAACAGCACAACAUACAAAGAACUUGAACGUCGAGUAAUAGACACGUGUACGCCUAUCUACACAAGAAAAUAUGGAGAGAGAUUUGUCCGCUGCUUUGUGAAACAAUUCCGCCGUGCUGUGCGUCUACGAGAAGAUGCAACUGCAGCUGAUAUUGGGGUUGUGCUCCGCAACAAUAUCCCCAUUUCUGACCUCCCAAGUAACGACGAAAUUGCUGAAACUUUAGCAAUUGCAGCAAGUAGCAAUGAGACCUUAAGUGUGGCUCUGUCUGCAUCAUCAAUCCAAACUAUAUCUGGUCCAGUUCCUUUAACUACUGAGCCUGCAACUACAACAACCACAGUUGCAGCAACUACAACUCCUGCCAUGACAACAACCACAUCUGCAGCUGUUACAAUAAGUGUGUCAUUUAGAUCACGUCUCAGCACAUUUUCAAGUGACCUGCAGGAUACAUCUUCUGAAGCUUUUAAAAGUCGAGCUUCAAUGAUAAAAUCACAGCUUCAACCAUUGUUCAAGGAACAAUUUUCUUCCUUUAGGUUCAUGGAAGUGGUAUCAUUUAGAAAUGGCUCAGUCAUCAAUGACAUGACACUCGGCUUUGACAGUACGGCUGUCCCUCAUCACACCGUGAUUGCCAGUGUUUUAAUUAACGCAUCUUCGGUUGUCACUGGUUUUGACAUUGAAGGCAGCUCCAUUUCUGUAGAUGGCAUAGCAUCAAGUGGAGUCAACCAGAACAUGAGUCUCUUCACUGCAUUCUCUUUGGUACUGCUGUCAUGGAUACUGUCAAACCAGCAAUAAAAUUAUGAGUAUUGUCAUUUAUUGACAGCAUCCAGCAACACUUUAACAGCAGUGCGCAUCAUAAUAAUAAUAUAUAUAUUUAUGUUAUAUUACAAACUGUUCUGCAUUCUCCUGAUUUAUGAAGGUAACAUUAUAGACCUCCUUAUUACAAUGUUACAAUACUAUCACUGAGAAAAGAAAUGAAGUGACAAAUUACAACAAUCACAGUUCUUGAAAUUAUGUGUGUUUUAAAAAAACAUGUUAAUAUAUUUUAUUUUUAGAGACUUAUUUAAUCCUACUAAUCAAGAUGCUGUGAAAUCUUGUAAAACAUGAAAAGGUCAGAAUAAACAAAAAUGACUAAUUUUUAGUUUUUCUCAUGUUUUCCCUCAUCAUUAAAACACAAUUGUGAUUUAUACCAGCCAAUCAGACUGGUUGAUUCACCAUUGUUCAUUUGAAUAAAUUGGUAUACAAAUUGCUGAA